UCCAGACUCCUACGGGAGGCAGCAGUGGGGAAUAUUGCACAAUGGGGGGAACCCUGAUGCAGCGACGCCGCGUGGGUGAAGAAGUCAUUCGUGACGUAAAGCCCUAUCAGCAGGGAAGAAAAUGACGGUACCUGACUAAGAAGCCCCGGCUAACUACGUGCCAGCAGCCGCGGUAAUACGUAGGGGGCGAGCGUUAUCCGGAUUCACUGGGCGUAAAGGGAGCGCAGGCGGCACGGCAAGUCCGGUGUGAAAGCCGGGGGCCCAACCCCGGGACUGCACUGGAAACUGCCGGGCUGGAGUGUCGGAGGGGCAGGCGGAAUUCCUAGUGUAGCGGUGAAAUGCGUAGAUAUUAGGAGGAACACCGGUGGCGAAGGCGGCCUGCUGGACGACGACUGACGCUGAGGCUCGAAAGCGUGGGGAGCAAACAGGAUUAGAUACCCCAGUA
rnacentral:rRNA from 1 species